CCGGCCAGUGAGCCCGUGGCGUGGGCGGGGCGCGGCGCCGAGCGGGAAACAUGGCCGGGCUGGGCUCCCUGGGCUGCGGCGUCGGCCCGGAGGGCGAGGAGCAUGGCGACGAGAGCCUGCGCAAGUCGGCCGUGGAGGUGUUCCGGAAGCUGAAGGACCUAGAUUGCCCCUUCCUCGAGGGUCUUUAUGUCUCGGAACCAAAGACGAUUCAGGAGCUGCUAUGUAGUCCCUCCAAGUACCGUCUGGAGAUCCUGGAGUGGAUGUGUGUAAGGGUCUGUCCUUCCUCCCGGGACAAGUUCAGCUCGCUGAAGGGGGCACAGCCUGAUGUGAAGAUCCAAGAGAUGGUGAGACUGGGCCAUGAGCUGCUGCUGUGUGGGCCGGAUGACCAGGAGCUCCUGAAGGGCUGCGCCUGUGCCCGGAAGCAGCUGCAUUUCAUGGACCAGCUGCUGGACGCCAUCCGGAGCCUGACCAUCGGGUACUCCAGUUGCUCCAGCAUGGACGAGCACUUCAAGGACACCCGAGAGAAGAGUGAGGUGCUGCUGGAGGAGCUCUUCUCCAGCGCCCACCUGCAGGCGCUCCUGAACCCCGAGUGCGACCUGUGGCCCCUGGAUAUGCAGCCCCUCCCCGACCAGCAGAGUGACGACUGCCAAAGGGCAGCUUUGGAGUCAGAGGAGAAGAAAGUGGCAGAGCUGGCCAGGCAGCUGCAGGAGAGCAUGGCCAAGCUCCAGGGACUCCGGGCAGAGUGUUUUUCACAGAAGGCAGGGGCCACCGCGGGCAGGGUCGACAUCAGCACUUUGGACCAGAAGCUGCGCCUCGCGGUCUCCGACUUCCACCAGCUCAUCGUGGCCUUCCUGCACGUCUACGACCACGAGCUGGGUUCCGUCCCUUCUUUUAGUUUCCUGAGACGCCCAGACCUGUCACGGUCCAUGUGUUCUCAGGUAUGACCAAGAACAGGUGGGAAAGAAGCCGGAACAAGACAAGGGCGUCUCCCGUCACUAACCUAACUACGCCAACAUUUACUUAUUUCGCAGUCCCUCAUUUCAGAUCCCCAGAUGCCACCCUAAAAGCUGGGUUUUCUUAUGAUUAUUACACUCUCCCCCUGGGGUCCUCUAGGCUUUGCUAGAGGGCAGGUGUGGCCCUUCUCACAGGGCAGAUAGGGAAACUGAGGCCCAGAGGAGACCAGAUGUGUCCGGCUACAACUUUUUAUGAGUUUUGAAUGGAAAGACCCUGAGACCUUAAAACAUUUGACCAGCCUCUCCCUAGAUCCCCACAACAGGGCUAUUUAGGGCACGAGCGGCUCCCCACCAGAAAGGCUGCGUUAUCUCCGGAGCUUAAUUUCCUGGCCGUGCCUUUGGCCCCGCUUGGGUUGGGCACUGCCCAGUGUGAUCCGUGGCCUGGAGGAAGGGCACUUGGGUUUGAGAACUCUGAGCGGCAUCUCCUCGCCUCUGGCUGCCUUUGGGGUGAAUCUCACAUGCGCUUGGGGGCUCGGGAGAAGGGGCACAGCCGGUGAGCUCGGGUGGGAGAAGAGUGGCUCCGUCUCGAGGCGGGACCCUCGGCGUUUACUGCCCUCCCUGCCCCUCCCUCCCCGGCCCCCUGCCUCCUUUCCUUCCUAGUUGCUGAACGCGGUCAUGGAGGUCACGAGCACUUCCAGGAAAACUGUGGAGAUGGUCAGGAAGCAGCAGGGCGAGCUGACCUGCUGGGGCGGUGACAACUCGGUGACCAGCCUGGCCUCCAAGAUGCAAGAGCUGACCCAGAAGUACAAG